UACGUAGGGGGCGAGCGUUGUCCGGAUUUAUUGGGCGUAAAGAGCGUGUAGGCGGCCAGGUAGGUCUGCUGUGAAAACUCGAGGCUCAACCUCGAGAUGUCGGCGGAAACCACUUGGCUAGAGUCCGGAAGAGGAGAGUGGAAUUCCUGGUGUAGCGGUGAAAUGCGCAGAUAUCAGGAAGAACACCUAUGGCGAAGGCAGCUCUCUGGGACGGUACUGACGCUGAGACGCGAAAGCGUGGGGAGCGAACAGG
rnacentral:rRNA from 1 species